rnacentral:ncRNA from 1 species
AAUAGAGGAGCGGAGAGCAAAAGUAACCGAGCUUGGGGCACACGGGCAUGUGCGGAGGGCGCGGCGAAAGGGCAUCCCCGCCGAAGCGGAAGCCCUGCCCGACCUUUCGCUGGGCGCGCAAGAGAAUAUCUGCGCGACUGUCACUUGAUGUGUUGCGC